rnacentral:tRNA from 1 species
GGGGGUAUAGCUCAGCGGUAGAGCACAUGCUUAGCAUGCACAAGGUCCUGGGUUCAACCCCCAGGACCUCCA